rnacentral:rRNA from 1 species
AUGAACGCUGGCGGCGUGCCUCAUCCAUGCAAGUCGAGCGAACAGACGAGGAACUUGCUCCUCUGACGUUAGCGGCGGACGGGUGAGUAACACGUGGAUAACCUACCUAUAAGACUGGGAUAACUUCGGGAAACCGGAGCUAAUACCGGAUAAUAUAUUGAACCGCAUGGUUCAAUAGUGAAAGACGGUUUUGCUGUCACUUAUAGAUGGAUCCGCGCCGCAUUAGCUAGUUGGUAAGGUAACGGCUUACCAAGGCAACGAUGCGUAGCCGACCUGAGAGGGUGAUCGGCCACACUGGAACUGAGACACGGUCCAGACUCCUACGGGAGGCAGCAGUAGGGAAUCUUCCGCAAUGGGCGAAAGCCUGACGGAGCAACGCCGCGUGAGUGAUGAAGGUCUUCGGAUCGUAAAACUCUGUUAUUAGGGAAGAACAAAUGUGUAAGUAACUAUGCACGUCUUGACGGUACCUAAUCAGAAAGCCACGGCUAACUACGUG